CAUAGGUUAAUGAGGCGAACCGGGGGAACUGAAACAUCUAAGUACCCCGAGGAAAAGAAAUCAACCGAGAUUCCCCCAGUAGCGGCGAGCGAACGGGGAGGAGCCCAGAGCCUGAAUCAGUGUGUGUGUUAGUGGAAGCGUCUGGAAAGGCGUGCGAUACAGGGUGACAGCCCCGUACACAAAAAUGCACAUAUUGUGAGCUCGAUGAGUAGGGCGGGACACGUGGUAUCCUGUCUGAAUAUGGGGGGACCAUCCUCCAAGGCUAAAUACUCCUGACUGACCGAUAGUGAACCAGUACCGUGAGGGAAAGGCGAAAAGAACCCCGGCGAGGGGAGUGAAAAAGAACCUGAAACCGUGUACGUACAAGCAGUGGGAGCCUCUUUAUGGGGUGACUGCGUACCUUUUGUAUAAUGGGUCAGCGACUUAUAUUCUGUAGCAAGGUUAACCGAAUAGGGGAGCCGAAGGGAAACCGAGUCUUAACUGGGCGUUAAGUUGCAGGGUAUAGACCCGAAACCCGGUGAUCUAGCCAUGGGCAGGUUGAAGGUUGGGUAACACUAACUGGAGGACCGAACCGACUAAUGUUGAAAAAUUAGCGGAUGACUUGUGGCUGGGGGUGAAAGGCCAAUCAAACCGGGAGAUAGCUGGUUCUCCCCGAAAGCUAUUUAGGUAGCGCCUCGUGAAUUCAUCUCCGGGGGUAGAGCACUGUUUCGGCAAGGGGGUCAUCCCGACUUACCAACCCGAUGCAAACUGCGAAUACCGGAGAAUGUUAUCACGGGAGACACACGGCGGGUGCUAACGUCCGUCGUGAAGAGGGAAACAACCCAGACCGCCAGCUAAGGUCCCAAAGUCAUGGUUAAGUGGGAAACGAUGUGGGAAGGCCCAGACAGCCAGGAUGUUGGCUUAGAAGCAGCCAUCAUUUAAAGAAAGCGUAAUAGCUCACUGGUCGAGUCGGCCUGCGCGGAAGAUGUAACGGGGCUAAACCAUGCACCGAAGCUGCGGCAGCGACACUAUGUGUUGUUGGGUAGGGGAGCGUUCUGUAAGCCUGUGAAGGUGGCCUGUGAGGGUUGCUGGAGGUAUCAGAAGUGCGAAUGCUGACAUAAGUAACGAUAAAGCGGGUGAAAAGCCCGCUCGCCGGAAGACCAAGGGUUCCUGUCCAACGUUAAUCGGGGCAGGGUGAGUCGACCCCUAAGGCGAGGCCGAAAGGCGUAGUCGAUGGGAAACAGGUUAAUAUUCCUGUACUUGGUGUUACUGCGAAGGGGGGACGGAGAAGGCUAUGUUGGCCGGGCGACGGUUGUCCCGGUUUAAGCGUGUAGGCUGGUUUUCCAGGCAAAUCCGGAAAACCAAGGCUGAGGCGUGAUGACGAGGCACUACGGUGCUGAAGCGACAAAUGCCCUGCUUCCAGGAAAAGCCUCUAAGCAUCAGGUAACAUCAAAUCGUACCCCAAACCGACACAGGUGGUCAGGUAGAGAAUACCAAGGCGCUUGAGAGAACUCGGGUGAAGGAACUAGGCAAAAUGGUGCCGUAACUUCGGGAGAAGGCACGCUGAUAUGUAGGUGAAGCGACUUGCUCGUGGAGCUGAAAUCAGUCGAAGAUACCAGCUGGCUGCAACUGUUUAUUAAAAACACAGCACUGUGCAAACACGAAAGUGGACGUAUACGGUGUGACGCCUGCCCGGUGCCGGAAGGUUAAUUGAUGGGGUUAGCGGUAACGCGAAGCUCUUGAUCGAAGCCCCGGUAAACGGCGGCCGUAACUAUAACGGUCCUAAGGUAGCGAAAUUCCUUGUCGGGUAAGUUCCGACCUGCACGAAUGGCGUAAUGAUGGCCAGGCUGUCUCCACCCGAGACUCAGUGAAAUUGAACUCGCUGUGAAGAUGCAGUGUACCCGCGGCAAGACGGAAAGACCCCGUGAACCUUUACUAUAGCUUGACACUGAACAUUGAGCCUUGAUGUGUAGGAUAGGUGGGAGGCUUUGAAGUGUGGACGCCAGUCUGCAUGGAGCCGACCUUGAAAUACCACCCUUUAAUGUUUGAUGUUCUAACGUUGGCCCGUAAUCCGGGUUGCGGACAGUGUCUGGUGGGUAGUUUGACUGGGGCGGUCUCCUCCUAAAGAGUAACGGAGGAGCACGAAGGUUGGCUAAUCCUGGUCGGACAUCAGGAGGUUAGUGCAAUGGCAUAAGCCAGCUUGACUGCGAGCGUGACGGCGCGAGCAGGUGCGAAAGCAGGUCAUAGUGAUCCGGUGGUUCUGAAUGGAAGGGCCAUCGCUCAACGGAUAAAAGGUACUCCGGGGAUAACAGGCUGAUACCGCCCAAGAGUUCAUAUCGACGGCGGUGUUUGGCACCUCGAUGUCGGCUCAUCACAUCCUGGGGCUGAAGUAGGUCCCAAGGGUAUGGCUGUUCGCCAUUUAAAGUGGUACGCGAGCUGGGUUUAGAACGUCGUGAGACAGUUCGGUCCCUAUCUGCCGUGGGCGCUGGAGAACUGAGGGGGGCUGCUCCUAGUACGAGAGGACCGGAGUGGACGCAUCACUGGUGUUCGGGUUGUCAUGCCAAUGGCACUGCCCGGUAGCUAAAUGCGGAAGAGAUAAGUGCUGAAAGCAUCUAAGCACGAAACUUGCCCCGAGAUGAGUUCUCCCUGACUCCUUGAGAGUCCUGAAGGAACGUUGAAGACGACGACGUUGAUAGGCCGGGUGUGUAAGCGCAGCGAUGCGUUGAGCUAACCGGUACUAAUGAACCGUGAGGCUUAACCUUACAACGCCGAAG
rnacentral:rRNA from 1 species